rnacentral:rRNA from 1 species
UACGGGGGGGGGCAAGCGUUGUUCGGAAUUACUGGGCGUAAAGGGCCAGUAGGCGGCCAACUAAGUCCGACGUGAAAUCCCAAGGCUUAACCUUGGAACUGCGUCGGAUACUGGAUGGCUUGAAUUCGGGAGAGGGAUGCAGAAUUCCAGGUGUAGCGGUGAAAUGCGUAGAUAUCUGGAGGAAUACCGGUGGCGAAGGCGGCAUCCUGGACCGACAUUGACGCUGAGGCAUGAAAGCGUGGGGAGCAAACAGG